CAGUAGCCGCGGUAAUACGUAGGGUGCAAGCGUUGUCCGGAAUUAUUGAGCGUAAAGAGCUCGCAGGCGGCUUGUCGUGUCGACUGUGAAAACCUGGGGCUUAACCCCGGGCCUGCAGCCGAUACGGGCAAGCUAGAAUUCGGUAGGGGAGACUGGAAUUCCUGGUGUAGCGGUGAAAUGCGCAGAUAUCAGGAGGUACACCGGUGGCGAAGGCGGGCCUCUGGGUCGAUAUUGACGCUGAGGAGCGAAAGCGUGGGGAGCGAACAGGAUUAGAUACCCCUGUAGUCCCUGUCUCUUAUAC
rnacentral:rRNA from 1 species